rnacentral:rRNA from 2 species
ACAAUGGAUACUUAGUACGGCGAGUGAAGCGGUAAAAGCUCAAAUUUGAAAUCUGGUACUUUCAGUGCCCGAGUUGUAAUUUGUAGAAUUUGUCUUUGAUUAGGUCCUUGUCUAUGUUCCUUGGAACAGGACGUCAUAGAGGGUGAGAAUCCCGUUUGGCGAGGAUACCUUUUCUCUGUAAGACUUUUUCGAAGAGUCGAGUUGUUUGGGAAUGCAGCUCAAAGUGGGUGGUAAAUUCCAUCUAAAGCUAAAUAUUGGCGAGAGACCGAUAGCGAACAAGUACAGUGAUGGAAAGAUGAAAAGAACUUUGAAAAGAGAGUGAAAAAGUACGUGAAAUUGUUGAAAGGGAAGGGCAUUUGAUCAGACAUGGUGUUUUUUUAAUGUGCAAGUCUCUCGUGGACAUGUGCCUCUGGAAAUUAACACUGGGCCAACAUCAGUUCUGGCGGCAGGAUAAAUCAUUAAGAAUGUAGCUACCUCGGUAGUGUUAUAGCUUUUUGGAAUACUGCCAGCUGGGAUUGAGGACUGCGCUUCGGCAAGGAUGUUGGCAUAAUGGUUAAAUGCCGCCCGUCUUG